AGUGAACGCUGGCGGUAGGCCUAACACAUGCAAGUCGAACGGCAGCACAGGAGAGCUUGCUCUCUAGGUGGCGAGUGGGGGACGGGUGAGGAAUACAUCGGAAUCGGCGCAGUCGUGGGGGAUAACGUAGGGAAACUUACGCUAAUACCGCAUACGACCUGCGGGUGAAAGAGGGGGAUCGCAAGACCUCUCGCGAUUGGAUGAGCCGAGGUCGGAUUAGCUAGUUGGCGGGGUAAUGGCCCACCAAGGCGACGAUCCGUAGCUGGUCUGAGAGGAUGAUCAGCCACACUGGAACUGAGACACGGUCCAGACUCCUACGGGAGGCAGCAGUGGGGAAUAUUGGACAAUGGGCGCAAGCCUGAUCCAGCCAUACCGCGUGUGUGAAGAAGGACUUCGGGUUGUAAAGCCCUUUUGUUGGGAAAGAAAUCUUUCAGGCUAAUACCCUGGGAGGAUGACGGUACCCAAAGAAUAAGCACCGGCUAACUUCGUG
rnacentral:rRNA from 1 species